UACGGGGGGGGGCAAGCGUUGUUCGGAAUUACUGGGCGUAAAGGGCGCGUAGGCGGGCGGCCAAGUCCGGGGUGAAAGCCCCCAGCUCAACUGGGGAAGUGCCUUGGAAACUGGUCGUCUUGAGGGAGGUAGGGGCAUGUGGAACUUCGGGUGGAGCGGUGAAAUGCGUUGAUAUCCGAAGGAACGCCGGUGGCGAAAGCGACGUGCUGGAUCUCUUCUGACGCUGAGGCGCGAAAGCCAGGGUAGCGAACGGG
rnacentral:rRNA from 1 species